AAUUUUCGCAGUACGCAUAUAAGAAGAGAGAAAUAGUUGCGGAGAGAAGUAGAUUACUGGCGUACCGGUAAACCGACACGUUUUUCGCAAAAGCUUCCAACCGUAUAACAACGCCAAAUAUUCUUGUUGGAAAAUUGACUAUUACCAGAGCUAUUGCACAUUGCUUCAACAAAUAUCUUUCCCGCUAUCGACAAGUCUGCAUAAGAGUGUAGUGAACUACACUUUUUGAAGCGCCUAUUCCGACCAAUCAGCGUCAAAUUACAUUGGAAAAUCUAAUAAUGCUGCCCAACUGUUGAGACCGCAGG